rnacentral:rRNA from 1 species
GUUCCAGACUCCUACGGGAGGCAGCAGUGGGGAAUAUUGCACAAUGGGGGAAACCCUGAUGCAGCGACGCCGCGUGGAGGAAGAAGGUCUUCGGAUUGUAAACUCCUGUCCUUGGGGACGAUAAUGACGGUACCCAAGGAGGAAGCACCGGCUAACUACGUGCCAGCAGCCGCGGUAAUACGGAGGAUCCGAGCGUUAUCCGGAUUCAUUGGGUUUAAAGGGUGCGUAGGUUGUUUUAUAAGUUAGCGGUGAAAUACCGAUGCUCAACAUCGGGGCUGCCGCUAAUACUGUAGGACUAGAGAUCGGAUGCAGCAGGCGGAAUGUGUAGUGUAGCGGUGAAAUGCAUAGAUAUUACACAGAACACCGAUUGCGAAGGCAGCUUGCUAGGCCGGAUCUGACACUGAUGCACGAAAGCGUGGGGAUCGAACAGGAUUAGAUACCCGGGUA